UCCUACGGGGGGCAGCAGUAGGGAAUCUUCGGCAAUGGGCGAAAGCCUGACCGAGCAACGCCGCGUGAGUGAAGAAGGUCUUCGGAUUGUAAAACUCUGUUGUUAGGGAAGAACAAGGAUGAGAGUAACUUUUCAUGCCUUGACGGUAUCUAAACAGUAAGCCACGGCUAACUAUGUGCCAGCAGCCGCGGUAAUACGUAGGUGGCAAGCGUUAACCGGAUUUAUUCGGCGUAAAGCGAGCGCAGGCGGUUUCUUAAGUUUGAUGU
rnacentral:rRNA from 1 species